GGCACGUGAAACCCUGUCUGAACAUGGGGGGACCAUCCUCCAAGGCUAAAUACUACUGACCGACCGAUAGUGAACCAGUACCGUGAGGGAAAGGCGAAAAGAACCCCGGAGAGGGGAGUGAAAUAGAACCUGAAACCGUGUGCGUACAAGCAGUAGGAGCUCCGCAAGGAGUGACUGCGUACCUUUUGUAUAAUGGGUCAGCGACUUACUGUUCGUGGCAAGCUUAACCGUAUAGGGGAGGCGAAGGGAAACCGAGUCUGAUAAGGGCGCAUAGUCGCGGGCAGUAGACCCGAAACCGGGUGAUCUAGUCAUGCCCAGGGUGAAGGUGCGGUAACACGCACUGGAGGCCCGAACCCACUCCCGUUGCAAAGGUAGGGGAUGAGGUGUGAUUAGGAGUGAAAAGCUAAUCGAACCCGGAGAUAGCUGGUUCUCCUCGAAAGCUAUUUAGGUAGCGCCUCAUAUGUAUCCUCUCGGGGGUAGAGCACUGUUAUGGCUAGGGGGUCAUCGCGACUUACCAAACCAUUGCAAACUCCGAAUACCGAGACGGACUGUAUGGGAGACACACGGCGGGUGCUAACGUCCGUCGUGAAAAGGGAAACAACCCAGACCCACAGCUAAGGUCCCAAAUUUUGUGCUAAGUGGAAAACCAUGUGGAAAGGCACAGACAGCCAGGAGGUUGGCUUAGAAGCAGCCACCCUUUAAAGAAAGCGUAAUAGCUCACUGGUCGAGUCGGUCUGCGGGGAAGAUUUAACGGGGCUAAGCACAGAACCGAAGCUUGGGGUGCAUAACUUUGUUAUGCGCGGUAGAGGAGCGUUCCGUAAGCCGUUGAAGGUGGAUUGAGAAGUCUGCUGGAGGUAUCGGAAGUGCGAAUGCUGACAUGAGUAACGAUAAUGCGGGUGAAAAACCCGCACGCCGAAAGCCCAAGGUUUCCUUGCGCAACGUUAAUCGGCGCAGGGUGAGUCGGCCCCUAAGGCGAGGACGAAAGUCGUAGUCGAUGGGAAGCAGGUUAAUAUUCCUGCACCUCGCGUAAGUGCGAUGGAGGGACGGAGAAGGUUAGGUGUACCAGGCGUUGGUUGUCCUGGGGAAAGGCGGUAGGUUUGGAU
rnacentral:rRNA from 1 species